ACCCACACCGCCAGGUGACCGUCUGACAGCCGGGAACAGCACCCACACCCCCAGGUGAGCAUCUGACCGCCCGGAACAGCAACCACACCCACCGGUGAGCAUCUGACAGCCUGGAACAGCAAACUGAACACCCAGGUGAGCAUCUGACAGUAUGGAACAGCACCCACACCCCCAGGCGAGCAUCUGACAGCCUGGAACAGCACCCACACACCCAGGUGAGCAUCUGACAGCCUGGAACAGCACCCACACCCCCAGGUGAGCAUCCGAUAGCCUGGAGCAGCACCCACACCGCUAGGUGAGCAUCUGAGAGCCUGGAACAGCACCCACACCCCCAGGCGAGCAUCUGACAGCCUGGAACAGAACCCAAACCCCCCAGGUGAGCAUCUGACAGGCUGGAAUAGCACCCACACCCCCAGGUGAGCAUCCGACCAGCUGGAGCAGCACGCGCAACCCGAGGCGAGCAUAUCACAGUCUGGAACAGCACCCACACCCUCAGGUGAGAAUCCGACAGCCUGAAGCAGCACCCACACCCCCAGGGGAGCAUCUGACAGUCUGGAGCAGCACCCACACAACCAGGCGAGCAUCGGACAGCCUGGAGCAGCACCCACACCCCCAGGCGAGCAUCCGAUAGCCUGGAGCAGCACCCACACCGCUAGGUGAGCAUCUGAGAGCCUGGAACAGCACCCACACCCCCAGGCGAGCAUCUGACAGCCUGGAACAGAACCCAAACCCCCCAGGUGAGCAUCUGACAGGCUGGAAUAGCACCCACACCCCCAGGUGAGCAUCCGACCACCUGGAGCAGCACGCGCAACCCGAGGCGAGCAUAUCACAGUCUGGAACAGCACCCACACCCUCAGGUGAGAAUCCGACAGUCUGAAGCAGCACCCACACCCCCAGGGGAGCAUCUGACAGUCUGGAGCAGCACCCACACAACCAGGCGAGCAUCGGACAGCCUGGAGCAGCACCCACACCCCCAGGCGAGCAUUCGACAGCCUGGAGCAGCACCCACAUCCCUAGGUGAGCAUCCGACAGCCUGGAGCAGCACCCACACCCCCAGGCCGGGAUCUGACAGCCUGGAGCAGCGCCAACACCCACAGGCGAGCAUCUGACAGCCUGGAGCAGCGCCCAGACCCCCAGGCGAGCAGCUGACAGCCUGGAGCAGCGCCCACACCCCCAGGUGAGCAUCUCACUGCCUGGAGCAGCACCCACACCCCCAGGCGAGCAUCUGACCGCACGGAGCAGCACUCACACCCCAGGCGAGCAUCUGACCGCAUGGAGCAGCACCAACACACCCAGGCGAGCAUCCCACAGCCUGGAGCAGCACCCACAGCCCCAGGCGAGCAUCUGACAGCCUUGAGCAGCAACCACACCCCCAGGCAAGCAUCUGACAACCUGGAGCAGCGCCCACAACCCCAGGCGAGCAUCUGACAGCCUUGAGCAGCAACCACACCCCCAGGCAAGCAUCUGACAACCUGGAGCAGCGCCCACAACCCCAGGCGAGCAUCUGACAGCCUGUAGCAGCGCACAAACCCCCAGGUGAGCAUCUGAGAGCCUGGAGCAGCGCCCACACCCCCAGGCGAGUAUCUGAGAGCCUGGAGCAGCGCCCACACCCCCAGGCGAACAUCUGACCGCAUGUAGCAGCGCCCACACCCCCAGGCGAGCAUCUGACCACAUGUAGCAGCGCCCACACCCCCAGGCGAGCAUCUGACUGCAUGGAGCAGCGCCCACAGCCCCAGGCGAGCAUCCGACAGCCUGGAAAAGUGCCCACAUCCCCAGGUGAGCAUCCGACCGCCUGGAGCAGCGCCCACACCCGUAGGCGAGCAUUCGACAGCCUGGAGCAGCGCCCACACCCCCAGGGGAGCAUCCGACAGCCUGGAGCAGCGCCCACACCCCCAGGGGAGCAUCCGACAGCCUGGAGCAGCACCCACACACCCAGGCGAGCAUCCGACAGUCUGGAGCAGCACCCACACCCGCAGGCGAGCAUCCGACAGGCGGGAGGAGCACCCACACCCCCAGGCGAGCAUCCGACAGUCUGGAGCAGAAUUCUCCAGCCCCAGGUGAGCACCUGACAGCCUGGAGCAGCACCCACACCCCCAGGUGAGCAUCUGACAGUCUAGAGCAGCAUCCACACCCCCAGGCGAGCAUCUGACAGCCUGUAGCAGCACCCACACCCCCAGGCGAGCAACUGACAGCCUGGAGCAGCACCCACACCCCCAGGUGAGCAACUGACAGCCUGGAGCAGCACCCACACCCCCAGGUGAGCAUCCGACAGCCUGGAGCAGCAUUCCACAUGCCCAGGUGAGCAUCUGACAGCCUGGAGAAGCACCCACACCCCCAGGCGACCAUCUGACAGCCUGGAACAGCACCCACACACCCAGGUGAGCAUCUGACAGCCUGGAACAGCACCCACACCCCCAGGUGAGCAUCUGAGAGCCUGGAACAGCACCCUGCACCCCCAGAUGAGCAUCUGACAGCCUGGAACAGCACCUACACCCCCAGGUGAGCAUCUGAUAGCCUAGAACAGCACCCGCACCCCAGGUGAGCAUCCGACUGCCUGGUACACCACUCACACCCCCAGGUGAGCAUCCAACAGCCUGGAGUAGCACCCACACCCCCCAGGCGAGCAUCCGACAGACUGCAGCAGCACCCACACCCCAGGGUGAGCAUCUGACAUCCUGGAGCAGCACCCCACACCCCCAGGUGAGCAUCUGACAGCCUGGAGCAGCACCCAUACCCUCAGGGGAGCAUCUGACAGCCUGCAGCAGCACCCAGAACCCCAGGCGAGCAUCUGACCGCAUGGAAUGUCAUCCUCACUCCAGGUGAGCAUUCGAGAGCCUGGAACAGCACCCACACCCCAGGUGAGCAUCUGACCGCCUGGAACGGCACGCCACACCCCCAGGUGAGCAUCUGACAGCCUGGAGCAGCACCCCACACCCUCACGGGAGCAUCUGACAGUCUGGAACAGCACCCCACACCCCCAGGUGAGCAUCUGAUAUCGUGGAACAGCACCCCACAUCCCCAGGUGAGCAUCUGACAGCCUGGAACAGCACCCCACAACUCCAGGUGAGAAUCUGACAUCCUGGAACAGCAUGCCACACCACCAGGUGAGCAUCUGACAGCCUGGAACAGAACCCUGCACCCCCACGUGAGCAUCCGUCAGCCUGGAGCAGCACCCACAACCCCAGGCGAGCAUCUGACAGCCUGGAGCAGCACCCCACAACCCCAGGGGAGCAUCUGACAGUCUGGAACAGCCCCCCACACCCCCAGGUGAGCAUCUGACAGCCUGAAACAGCACCCCACAACCCCAGGUGAGCAUGUGACAUCAUGGAACAGCACCCCACACCCCCAGGUGAGCAUCUGACACCCUGGAACAGCCCCCCACACCCCCAGGUGAGCAUCCGACAGCCUGAAACUGCACCCCACAACCCCAGGUGAGCAUGUGACAUCAUGGAACAGCACCCCACACCCCCAGGUGAGCAUCUGACAGCCUGAAAUAGCACCCCACACCCCCAGGUGAGCAUCUGACAGCCUGGAGCAGCACCCACACCCCCAGGCGAGCAUCUGACCACAUGGAACAGGACCCCACACCCCCAGGUGAGCAUCUGUCAUCCUCAACAGCACCCCACACCUCCAGGGGAGCAUCUGACAGCCUGGAACAGCACCCCACACCCCCACGUGAGCAUCUGACAGCCUGGAACAGCACCCCGAACCUCUAGGUGAGCAUCGGACAGGCUGCAACAGCACCCCACACCCCCAGGUGAGCAUGUGACAGCCUGGAACAGCACCCCACACCCCCAGGUGAGCAUCUGACAGCCUGGAAUAGCACCCCACACCCUCAGGGGAGCAUCUGACAGUCUGGAACUGCACCCCGCACCCCCAGGUGAGCAUCUGACAUCCUGGAACGGCACCCCACACCCCCAGGUGAGCAUCUGACAGCCUGGAGCAGCACCCCACACCUCCAGGGGAGCAUCUGACAGCCUGGAACAGCACCCCACACCUCCAGGGGAGCAUCUGACAGCAUGGACAAGUCCUGCCCCCUGGUUAGUGUCUGAAUUCCUGGAAUAUGUGCUGUCCUUUUCCACCAGGUGAGCAUCUGACCGCCUGGAAGAAGCACCCCUGCAUGUUACCUGUGGUGAAACCAAGGCUGAGAGACAGGACAGGGUUGUUGGCCAGGUGGAGGGGCCUGCUGCUGAGCCCCAGUGCUGAGUCAGAGCUCACAGCCUUGAGGCUGUGCCACGCCUCCUCUCAGGCAUGACGGGGCGAGGGCCUGCUGCUCCUACCGUCACUCCCACGUGCUAGCCCUCCAACGUCCUGGCUGACUUUCCCUGCCUCUGGUCCUGCGGCCCUGGACAGAGCGGGAGGAGGGGACAGGAUCCUGUGGUACCCCUUGGAGGAGGUUCCGGCACCUGUAGGCAGUUUCCAAGGAUCCCUUGUGGCCACAUCCAGCUGUUAAAUGGGCGUGUCCCUGGCAGCCACAGAUGUCUGUCCAGUGCAGGAAUGUCUGUCCAGUGCAGGAAAGGUCAGGCAGAGAGCUGGCUCCCAGCCCCAAAUGCAUGUCUCCCUCCCUGGGGCCCAGGCUGGCACAGAAGUCAGGCCUGCCAGUGGGCUUGGGGGAAACUUGGUGCCCUGGUCCGGCAGCCUGCCCUGCAGCAGCAAGCAUGGCCUCUGGAGGCUGUCGUCCUCCUGGCCUCCAGGAUUGCUUUUCCUUGCUUCCUAGAACUCCAGCCCUUAAGAAAAUCAGAAGCCCUGGCAGGCACAUUGCCUCUGUGCUGUGCUUUUACCCAGCGAAGCAUCAGGGCAGACAGCCAAUUUCAACACUGCUCUUGGCUGGGAAGUGCCCUCAUCUCUGGCAGCCCCCACAGAGAAAGUGCAGGGCCCCGGGGCUGUGGCUGCCUCAGGGCAGGUCUCCCUUGUGACAGCCUCUUGUCAUGGGCCUGGGAGUGGACCCCUCCCAUCCCUGCCAUGCAUCCUGUUGAGUAGACAGCUCAGGCUAGUACCCAAGAGGGUGGCCAGCAGAUCACAGGGGAUGUCCCUUUUGUCUUAGCUGUUUAUGGGCUGGAGGAACCACUGUUCAGCCACAUCUCCUCUCCUGCCCCUCCUGCAUUCACCCGAGGUUGAUGGGAGCUCUGUGGGGGGAGACAGGCAGGGGAGGGGCCAGGCAGCACCUGGGCAUAUCCCCAGGGUGCCUCCUCUGAUCCCCAGGAGGGGCAGCACCCACCCUCCUCUUUUUCCAAUUUGUUUUUAUUGUGGUUAAAUAUACAUAGCGUAAAAUUUA